rnacentral:rRNA from 1 species
UGGGGAAUAUUGGACAAUGGGGGAAACCCUGAUCCAGCAAUGCCGCGUGUGUGAAGAAGGCCUGCGGGUUGUAAAGCACUUUCAGUGGGGAGGAGAAGUUAGAUAUUAAUACCAUCUGACUGAGACGUUACCCACAGAAGAAGCACCGGCUAACUCUGUGCCAGCAGCCGCGGUAAUACAGAGGGUGCAAGCGUUAAUCGGAAUUACUGGGCGUAAAGGGUGCGUAGGUUGUUAAUCUUGUGGGCUGUGAAAUACCCGGGCUUAACCUGGGCAGGACAGCCCAAACAGAUUGACUAGAGUUCAGGAGAGGGUAGUGGAAUUUCCGGUGUAGCGGUGAAAUGCGUAGAUAUCGGAAGGAACACCAGUGGCGAAGGCGACUACCUGGCCUGAUACUGACACUGAAGUACGAAAGCGUGGGGAGCGAACAGGAUUAGAUACCCCUGUAGUCC